CCUACGGGGAGCAGCAGUGAGGAAUAUUGGUCAAUGGACGAGAGUCUGAACCAGCCAAGUAGCGUGAAGGAUGACUGCCCUAUGGGUUGUAAACUUCUUUUAUAUGGGAAUAAAAUGUUCCACGUGUGGGAUUUUGUAUGUACCAUAUGAAUAAGGAUCGGCUAACUCCGUGCCAGCAGCCGCGGUAAUACGGAGGAUCCGAGCGUUAUCCGGAUUUAUUGGGUUUAAAGGGAGCGUAGGUGGAUUGUUAAGGCAGUUGUGAAAGUUUGCGGCUCAACCGUAAAAUUGCAGUUGAAACUGGCAGUCUUGAGUACAGUAGAGGUGGGCGGAAUUCGUGGUGUAGCGGUGAAAUGCUUAGAUAUCACGAAGAACUCCGAUUGCGAAGGCAGUUCACUGGACUGCAACUGACACUGAGGCUCGAAAGUGUGGGUAUCAAACAGGAUUAGAUACCCGAGUAGUC
rnacentral:rRNA from 1 species